GAUGAACGCUGGCGGCGUGCCUAAUACAUGCAAGUCGAGCGAACAGAUAAGGAGCUUGCUCCUUUGACGUUAGCGGCGGACGGGUGAGUAACACGUGGAUAACCUACCUAUAAGACUGGGAUAACUUCGGGAAACCGGAGCUAAUACCGGAUAACAUAUUGAACCGCAUGGUUCGAUAGUGAAAGGCGGCUUUGCUGUCACUUAUAGAUGGAUCCGCGCCGUAUUAGCUAGUUGGUAAGGUAACGGCUUACCAAGGCAACGAUACGUAGCCGACCUGAGAGGGUGAUCGGCCACACUGGAACUGAGACACGGUCCAGACUCCUACGGGAGGCAGCAGUAGGGAAUCUUCCGCAAUGGGCGAAAGCCUGACGGAGCAACGCCGCGUGAGUGAUGAAGGUCUUCGGAUCGUAAAACUCUGUUAUCAGGGAAGAACAAAUGUGUAAGUAACUGUGCACAUCUUGACGGUACCUGAUCAGAAAGCCACGGCUAACUACGUG
rnacentral:rRNA from 1 species